rnacentral:rRNA from 1 species
CGAUAUCAAUAAGCGGAGGAAAAGAAAAUAACAAUGAUUCCCCUAGUAACUGCGAGUGAAGAGGGACAAGCUCAAAUUUUAAAUCUGUUCGGUUCUACCUGACAGAGUUGUAAUUUAAAGAAACGUUUUCUGUGUCUUGAGUUAAUCGAAAUCCUUUGGAAUGAGGUAUCAUGGAGGGUGACAAUCCCGUUCAUGGUUAAUUCUAAGAUGCUUUAUGAUGCGUUUUCGAAGAGUCGAGUUGUUUGGGAUUGCAGCUCAAAAUGGGAGGUAAAUUUCUCCUAAGGCUAAAUAUUGGCGAGAGACCGAUAGCGAACAAGUACCGUGAGGGAAAGAUGAAAAGUACUUUGAAAAGAGAGUUAAAUAGUACGUGAAAUUGUUGAAAGGGAAACGAUUGAAGCCAGUCGUACUGACGGGUAAUCAACCUUUUGGGCGCGAUUAUGUGGAGUGUGUUGGAGCCUUAACAGUCCUCAUGCCUGCAUAUUUGUUUCCUUGGGUGUACUUGCCCGCGUGGUAGGUUAACAUCAAUUUCGGACGUCAUAAAGUAACGGGAGGAAUGUAGCUUUGGUCUCGUACUGAAGUGUUAUAGACUCUGCUAGAUGUGACGACCGGGAUUGAGGAUUGCAACGGAUACCCCUCGGGGCUACCCGCCUGGCCUCUGGAGGUCGCUUUGGUGCCGAAAGCGUGCUUACGGUUAUCGAAGUUGGCAGUCAAUAGGUUAGAACGGGUUAAAUUCGUUAAGGAUGUUGACGUA